rnacentral:sRNA from 1 species
GAACCGAAACAGUUUCAGUUCGGUUCAGGUUCGGGUUCGGUUC